rnacentral:rRNA from 1 species
GUUAGCGCCGGGCAGUCAGCGGCGGUAAUACGUAGGUGGAAAGCGUUGGCCGGAAUUAGUGGGCGUGAAGCGCGCGCAGGGGGUCCUUUAAGGCUGAUGUGAAAGCCCACGGCUCAACCGUGGAGGGGCAUUGGAAACUGGGGGACUUGAGUGCAGAAGAGGAAAGCGGAAUUCCACGUGUAGCGGUGAAAUGCGUAGAGAUGUGGAGGAACACCAGUGGCGAAGGCGGCUUUCUGGUCUGUAACUGACGCUGAGGCGCGAAAGCGUGGGGAGCAAACAGGAUUAGAUACCCGAGUAGUC